GAUGAACGCUGGCGGCGCGCCUAACACAUGCAAGUCGAACGAUUAAAGCACCUUCGGGGGUGUAUAAAGUGGCGAACGGCUGAGUAACACGUGGGCAACCUGCCCCUUUCAUUGGGAUAGCCACGGGAAACCGUGGGUAAUACCGAAUACUUCGAGACUUCCGCAUGGAAGACGCGAGAAAGCUCCGGCGGGGAGGGAUGGGCCCGCGGCCUGUUAGCUUGUUGGUGGGGUAACGGCCUACCAAGGCAAUGAUGGGUAGCUGGGUUGAGAGGCCGACCAGCCAGAUUGGGACUGAGACACGGCCCAGACUCCUACGGGAGGCAGCAGUGGGGAAUCUUGCACAAUGGGCGCAAGCCUGAUGCAGCGACGCCGCGUGCGGGAUGAAGGCCUUCGGGUUGUAAACCGCUUUCAGCAGGGACGAGGCGAAAGUGACGGUACCUGCAGAAGAAGCCCCGGCUAACUACGUG
rnacentral:rRNA from 1 species